rnacentral:lncRNA from 1 species
GCUUGUAGCCUAGUGGUUACAUAAGACCUUAAUAGCACCUGAGGUCAUGGGUUCGACUCCUCGUUGGAGCGUUGUACUGCGUUCUCGUAAAAAAAAAAUACUUAUAAAAUCCUGCUAGCGAAUUUAUGCAUGGGGAAUUCAAGAAAAUACCACAAGUUCACUUCCAUUUAAAUAUGAACAUAUAUACUAAACGUUAUCUCCACGUUAAUCAAACAAUUUAAACCUAGCGCAAAUAUCUUUUAGUUUUUUCUUCAGUUUUGGUUCUGUUAGUGUACUGUAGCCA